GACGAACGCUGGCGGCGUGCUUAACACAUGCAAGUCGAACGGAAAGGCCCUGCUUUUGUGGGGUGCUCGAGUGGCGCACGGGUGAGUAACACGUGAGUAACCUGCCCUUGACUUUGGGAUAACUUCAGGAAACUGGGGCUAAUACCGGAUAGGAGCUCCUGCUGCAUGGUGGGGGUUGGAAAGUUUCGGCGGUUGGGGAUGGACUCGCGGCUUAUCAGCUUGUUGGUGGGGUAGUGGCUUACCAAGGCUUUGACGGGUAGCCGGCCUGAGGGGGGGACCGGCAACAUUGGGACUGGGAUACGGCCAGGACUCCUACGGGAGGCAGCAGUGGGAAAUAUUGCACAAUGGGCGGAAGCCGGAUGCAGCAACGCCGCGUGCGGGAUGACGGCCUUCGGGUUGUAAACCGCUUUCGCCUGUGACGAGGCGUGAGUGACGGUAAUGGGUAAAGAAGCACCGGCUAACUACGUG
rnacentral:rRNA from 1 species